rnacentral:snoRNA from 1 species
AAAUGAGGGCUUAGUUGGGGAUCAUUCCUAUAGUUUGUUACCAACAAGUGAGACCACAAGUGUGAGAUGGAAAGUCACAAGGCGGAGCUUUUAGUGUUCUCUUCUGAAUCUGAAGCUGCCCAGUAGUGCUGCUUUCAUACAGCUGCUGCUCACCAAUGAGGAUCGUUCCUUCUCCUCAGAGAAGGUGGAAAGAGGAAAAUUGCAAACUGAGUGGC